UCAAUAACAACAUACACAAAACAUACCAAGUUAUGCUAAUGAACACUUGAUUUUCACCUUCCAUAUUUUUCUUAAUGAACACUUGAUUUUCACCUUCCAUAUUUUUCUUAGAGAAUCGUACUUUAAAAGCGGAAUUUUUUCGGACCUCUUGUUGAGGAUGGACCUAUUCAUCUCUUAUCUAGGGAUCAUAGACCUAAUAAGGAUUGUGAAGCCGAUGAAGAACCAAAUUAGGCCAUUCAAGAAUGCAACACUUUCAAAUACAAUAAUUGUUCAGUAGUAUGUUCAAAAGUGGAGUCUCAUCUUGCUGAUGAGUUGUGUAUAAUGGAUCAUUUAAUAGGAAUGGUAAAAUACUGCGUUUGACCUCGACCAAGGUAUGAGUCCAUUCCGCUUCAUCCCGUCCGCUUCAUCCCGUUUUAUCGGACUUUUGCGAACAAGAACGUUAACAAGAACUUUUGCUUCAUCCCGUCCGCUUCAUCCCGUUUUAUCGGACUUUUGCGAACAAGAACGUUAACAAGAACUUUUGCUUCAUCCUGUCCGCUUCAUCCCGUUUUAUCGGACUUUUGCGAACAGGAACGUUAACAAGAACUUUUGCAAUUAUUAGAUUUUAGAAAGUCAAGACCUACACACCCACGCUUUCAUUUUUUUCAUAGAACAAAGUUUUAAGCCCACACCUUACUAUGCUUGUUCCGUUUUUCCAGGCUUAUGGGAUGUGCAUCCGUCCGUGACGUGCCAAAACGGGAUGCGCAUGCCGCCACCCCUACCGACAAAGAUAACUUAUGCACAAACACUUUGAGAAUUAGAAACUACUCUCAUUUUCAAAAGACAACAUAUGCAUUUGGUGCUUUUUAUCUACCAGUUUCAAACUUCAGAAACAUUGUCUAAUAACAGCUCUGUAUUAAAGUUGGCUUUGAAAUAAUUCUAUAUCUGUAUUAAAGUUGGCUUUGAAAUAAUU